rnacentral:rRNA from 1 species
UACAGAGGUGGCAAGCGUUGUUCGGAAUUACUGGGCGUAAAGGGCGCGUAGGCGGUCUUGCAAGUCCCGUGUGAAAUCCCUCGGCUCAACUGAGGAACUGCACGGGAAACUGUUUGGCUUGAGUUCGGGAGAGGGAAGCGGAAUUCCAGGUGUAGCGGUGAAAUGCGUAGAUAUCUGGAGGAACACCGGUGGCGAAGGCGGCGUUCUGGACUGCAACUGACACUGAUGAACGAAAGCCAGGGGAGCAAACGGG